rnacentral:rRNA from 1 species
AAGCGGCGAGUGAAGCGGCAAAAGCUCAAAUUUGAAAUCUGGCGUCUUUGGCGUCCGAGUUGUAAUUUGAAGAAGGUAUCUUUGGGCCCGGCUCUUGUCUAUGUUCCUUGGAACAGGACGUCACAGAGGGUGAGAAUCCCGUGCGAUGAGAUGACCCGGGUCUGUGUAAAGUUCCUUCGACGAGUCGAGUUGUUUGGGAAUGCAGCUCUAAGUGGGUGGUAAAUUCCAUCUAAAGCUAAAUAUUGGCGAGAGACCGAUAGCGAACAAGUACAGUGAUGGAAAGAUGAAAAGAACUUUGAAAAGAGAGUGAAAAAGUCCGUGAAAUUGUUGAA